UGCAGAAUCCCGUGAACCAUCGAGUCUUUGAACGCAAGUUGCGCCCGAAGCCUUUAGGCCGGGGGCACGCCUGCCUGGGCGUCA
rnacentral:rRNA from 2 species